AACGCGCGGCGCGGGGCGGCGGUGGCCGGUUUCCCGGGGACGCCGCGGGGCUCAGGGCCCGGGCGGGGGACACGGCCCCAUUCGGGCGCGGACCGGGAUGGCGUGCGGGCCGUUGCGCUGGGCGGCGGCGCUGGUGGCCCGCGGGCUGCGCGCGCACCCCCGGCGCUUCCGGCCUCUGCCGCCCGCCCGCGCCCUCGGCUGCAACGGCGCCGCGCUGAGCUGGAGCCGCUCGGGGGCCGGCGGGGACCUGGGCGGGGACGACGCCGAGGAGGAGCUGGAGGCGCUGCUGGGGCCCGUACUGCUGCCGCUUACCGGCGUGCAGCGCAUGUUCGUCGUGCAGCCCAGGGCCGGCGGCCUGAAGCGGCGCCGCGCAGCUGAAUUACAGGUAGCAGAAGCUGUUGCUCUUGUAAAUACCCUCCAUAACUGGACAGUGUUAGAUAAAAUAAUUCUUCCUACAAAAAAUCUUGACCAGAAGCUUAUUUUUGGCAAAGGAAAUUUUCAAAUUUUGACAGAAAAGAUUAAAAGAUUACCCCAAGCAACAGCUGUCUUCUUGAAUUUAGAAAGAAUAUCUACACUGACAAAGAAAGAACUGGAAGAUGCCUGGGGCGUGAAGGUUUUUGACAGAUACACAGUUGUCCUUCAUAUUUUUCGUUGCAAUGCUCGGACUAAGGAAGCAAAACUUCAGAUAGCAUUGGCUGAAAUCCCACUUCUCAGAUCAAAUUUGAAAACUGAGGUAUCUCAUUUAGAUCAGCAAAGAGGUGGAUCAAGAUACAUCAUGGGUUCAGGUGAGACUUUCUUGGAGACUCAGACUCGUCUCUUGAGAGAGAGAGAAUUAAAAAUUAGGAAUGCCUUGGAGAAUUUAAGAAGAAAAAGAUCUAUACUCAGAACUCAGCGUCAAAAGCGUGAGUUCCCAGUGAUCUCAGUAAUGGGCUACACUAAUUGUGGGAAAACCACAUUGAUCAAGGCAUUGACUGGAGAUGCAGGACUGCAACCUCAAGAUCAGCUGUUUGCCACUCUUGAUAUUACAGCUCAUGCUGGCUACCUACCCUCACACCUAGCAGUUAUUUAUGUUGACACUAUUGGGUUUCUCUCUGAUCUGCCUCAUGACCUCAUUGGGUCCUUUUCAGCCACUUUAGAAGAGGUGGCUCACUCAGAUUUAAUAGUUCAUGUGAGGGAUGUUAGUCACCCUGAAACUGUCCAACAGAAAGCAAGCGUUUUGUCUGUCCUGAAGAAUCUUAAUCUCCCAAGCCAUUUACUGGAUUCAAUUGUAGAAGUUCAUAACAAAGUAGAUUUGGUAGAACGGUAUGAGCCUAUUGAACCAAAUGCUGUAGCUAUUUCUGCUCUUCAUGGGUAUGGAUUACAGGAUCUUAAGGAGGAAAUUGAGAGGACAGUUUUGAUAGCAACAGGGAAGAAGAUUCUGACAAUUAAGGUCAACUUAACAGGACCUCAACUAAGGUAAACAAUUGUGCCUGGCGUAUUAAGAAAUUUUGAAAGACAUGCAAGUAUUAGGUAAGAAACUUAGCUUUGUACUCUCCAAGAAGCCUGGUAAUUUCUACUGCUUUGGAUUUCAGUCAGUGAUAAGAAUUGUAGACAGGUUUGGAAGCUCUAGUUCAGUGGUUCUCAACCUUUUUUGUGCCAGGACAAACUUAUAAACAUCAAUGGCCAGUCUCAGUCCAGUGUCCCUUACUCCUGAUCGGCUGCUCCCACCCCCAGGACCAAGCCCCUCAGCGUGUGGGGCAGUGGAUGGGUGUGUCGGGCAGGAGGAGGGGUGCGUGGGGCAUGGAGGGCCCCAAGCAGACUGGAAUUCUGACAGCCUGCAAGGAAAAAGCCAUGGUUUUCCACAUUUUUCUCCUUUAAAGAGCCAUUUUUAAAAUUUGUUUGUGACCCUUUCAUAUAUUCUUGUGACCUACUUUUGGAUCAAGACACGUGGGUUGAGAAACGCUGCUCUAGCUGAUCUCACAGACCAGAUGUUGGCUGUAUAAAGAAGCAACAGUU